ensembl:lncRNA
UAUUUACGUAGACAUUACAUCCAUCUCCAGACUUCUGCACAUUCCACGAAGAAGGAGAAUGUUGUGGAACUUGAGCUUUCAUUACUUGUUUACAGAUCCAGGAGCAUAGUGCAGUGUUGUUUACAGGACCAGGAGCAUAGUGCAGUGUUGUUUACAGGAGCAUAGUGCAGUGUUGUUUACAGGAGCAUAGUGUUGUGUUGUUUACAGGUCCAUAGUGUUGUGUUGUUUACAGAUCCAGGAGCAUAGUGUUGUGUUGUUUACAGGUCCAGGAGCAUAGUGUUGUGUUGUUUACAGGAGCAUAGUGUUGUGUUGUUUACAGGUCCAUAGUGCAGUGUUGUUUACAGGUCCAGGAGCAUAGUGCAGUGUUGUCCCCCCUCUGCAGACUGCCACGAGUGUGUUGUGUGUUUAAGAAGGGAAGAUCAAUUAAAAGAUUUGAUUAAAUACAUCAGAAACUGUGAACAUAUUUAUUGAACACGUCUUUCAAAGUGAUCAUACUAGCUAACAGUGCUGACUCCAGAGUUUAUUUGUGGUAGCUAGGGGGCUUGGGAGCUUGGGAGCAUUGGUGUUAUGGUAGGUAGUUGGUUUGCAGAGGCCUUGCAAAUCACCUCAGACAUAUUUUUUUUACCUGCAAUAAUAGGGAUGUCAGAUUGUACAGGGUGUAGAUCUUGGUAACUUUAGUGUCUGAACUUUUAAAAAUGUAAGCGAAAAAAAGCAAAUUACAUUUCCAGAGUACAGUCCCCCAUCUUUGUUUCCCCCCCCCGAAGUAGCAUUAGGCAGAUACACCACACAAGUAUAAAUGUUCAC